rnacentral:rRNA from 1 species
UACGGGGGGUGCGAGCGUUGUUCGGAAUUACUGGGCAUAAAGGGUGCGUAGGUGGCUUGUUAAGUCAGGGGUGAAAGUUUUCGGCCCAACCGGAAAAUGGCCUUUGAUACUGGCGAGCUCGAGUGCGUGAGGGGUAACCGGAACGAGCAGUGUAGCGGUGAAAUGCGUAGAUAUUGCUCGGAAGGCCAACGGCGAAGGCAGGUUACUGGUACGCAACUGACACUGAGGCACGAAAGCGUGGGGAGCAAACAGG